rnacentral:lncRNA from 1 species
UCAUAUGGCCAACUGAUCCAAACCAUCGCACACAUUGGGAUGGCUUUCUUCGGCCUGUAAGCAGGUUUAAGAGAACGAUCAUAUAUGGUUGCCCAUCCUUACCUCUUUUCUCUCCUUUUCCGUUUGUCGCAGUCUGCGUCUUCCGAGCCGUGAAGCAUCUUGAUAAUUUGGCUUGUUGUUGGCCUUUUCGCCCGGUCAAGUUUGACGCAGGUCAGACCUGUCUGUAGGCAUGUUCUUGUUGGCAAUCCAUUUCUAGCAAUUUAUACCCGGUGCCUAUCUUACUAUUACUAAUAGGAGGCUUCUAACCUUCUUUUAAAAUUUUCGGGUGAAGCCACCUAGAAUUCAUAUAGAAAAAUAGAGAAAUCCUAUAAAUUCUCACAAAAAAGCAAAACAUCCGACCAUAAAUCGAUAGAUUCAAAUCAUCAUAGCUAUUGGAUCUAUUAUGUUUUUUAAACAAUUACCCACCUAUGCCAUUAUGAAAAUAGCCUAAAGUAACCCCCUAAAUCUAUAUAUAAAUUACCCACCUCUGUUAUUAUAUAAAAUAAACUAAACUAACUGUCACGCAUGCACCCUAGGCUCACGAGUAGACCUUGGACGGCCCACUAAGGGGCGUACUCGGAUGUGAUCAGGACAAGGGAUAGGUCUAUCCCACUCGGACUAGUCAAGUAUGUGUAUGGAAAACUACUCGGGUCAUACCGAGUAGAACUCUGUAAUAGUACUCGACUAAGACUCGGAUUUGUAACCCUGCCCUCCCGUGUAUAUAAGGGGGGCAGGGACCCCCCUCAAACAGAACAACUCUAGUUCAUCCAAGAUCAAUACAAACCAACACACAGGACGUAGGGUAUUACGCGAUCUAGCGGCCCGGACCUGUCUAAAUCGUGUUUCUUGCGUCACCAUUGAUUCCUUGAUUCUCGACGAUCCUUACCGCACAAAAGACCACCUAGGGUACCCCCUAGGCGGGUUGCUGGUCUAAAACACCGACAGCUGGCGCGCCAGGUAGGGGCUCUCGUCGAGUUUCUCAGCGGGAACUCAAUGGCCACGGUCAUCAUCAAGCCCGUCUUCAUCAUCGAAGCGGACGCCACCUUCGUUUUCGGAUCCUAGCUCUGCAUUGCUGACGGCUCUGGUUCAUUGCAGCGCUAGAUCAUCAACGCCUAGGAGAAGAAAUCAGAGGAUCUGGUUAGAAAAAAUCAAGAUUUCAAAGUCGACAACUUCAAGUUCGACUACGCGUCGGACUCGACUUCGAUUCGGACUAGUCGGUCCCGGUCACUUCCCAAGUCGGUUUCGACUCCAAAACAGUUUCCGCACAGACUCCGCCAUGCAGCCGAAGUCCACCAGGGUUUUCUUACUCGAAUCCAACUCGAACUCGGGCACGACGAAGACGACGACUCCGAUUUGGUUUAUCCGCCAGAAAUACCACUAUCUGGUCCAGCCCAAGGAUUGGUAAUAACCUCAACAUCACAAGGCAGAUUCGUACAUUGGCCGAGUUUGAGACCACCUCCUCUUUCCCGUGACUACGACUCACGCCUUGUCGCUCAUAUAGACAACCUCCCGUAUUAAGAGGGUGUCCCACUCACUUCCAAUCGCGAGGAAAGCUCCACAGAGAUUGCAACAUCAAGCUCCGGAAGCUACUACCCGGACAGAGAAGUCCUUGUUAUUACUCAAAAUAACAACCCGGGUACUAGCCAGAACAGAACCCCCAGGCGCUUAGCACAACUCGAUAACAUCUCAGAAGACGAGUCUACAGCUGACGCCCCACAAGAUGAAACUUCUGAUCAAAGAAACCAAAGGAGGAUGCGCAACGCUACUCGAGCCGAGCGACGGCAGUUGAUGGCCACAAAUAUUCCCAUCACAAACCUUGAAAGGGCUUUCGACGCAGUCCAGGCUUAAGAGCACAAUACUCCACUUACGACAAUCGCCUCAAUCAAUAUUUUAACGACGUUGAUGCCUCAAGACAGGGAAAACGAAGCCACAGCUCAGCUCGUGCAGCGCGGCAACGGACUAAUCGCACAACUCGCGGAGCAAGCCUACAAGCUACUUGACAAAGAAUCACCAAUUUCGUCUGUUCGUCGCAUCACAGCUCACCAAGAAGGCAGCAGGGGAGCUGCAGCCAACAACGAUGCCCCAAGAAACGACAAUGAAGUCGUCAACCAGCCUCGGCAACACAGCCAAGGCCUAAGCAAACACAAGACCCCAGCACGCCAUAAGGAUGUUGGAGAGGCCAGCUGCACCAACUCGAUAAAAAGUAUUCGCCCUACUCGGAAGAACCACGAAGUGUCAAACUUCAGUGAUCUACAAGAAAUCCUCAAUAGUCAGCGCGAGCGAGAAGUCGACAACUACAACCAAUUUCCUGCUUUCACAAGUCGGGUAAUGAAGAUAAGACUACCCGAUAAGUUUAAGCCAAUAGGAAUCACCAAGUACGACGGCAAGCAAGAUCCUAUUCAAUGGCUAUGAUGCUACUCCUUGGCAGUUCAGGCAGCUGGGGGCAAUAACGACACCAAAGUCAUCCACUUCCCCAUAUGCAUGGAACCCACACCAUUGACGUGGCUUGAGUCACUCAAACCCAAGUCAAUCGACUCUUGGGCAGACUUGACAAAGGCUUUCACCAACAACUUCGCCGGCUCCAUGGCUAGACCGGGCAAUAAGAUUGACUUAAGUCAAAUUAAGCAAAAAGAAGGCGAGACCUUAUGCGACUACUUGUGUCGAUUCUUCGAAAAGAAGGCAACCAUAGUUGACAUUUCAGAAACAAACGUCAUCGAGUGCUUCCAGAAUGGACUCUACGAUCGACGGACAUACCAAGACUUUGGUCGCCGAUGGCCAGCUAAUGUCAAAGACCUCAAAGUUAUGGUGCAACAGUGGGCAGAUGAAGAAGACAAAGAGCGAGAAUGGUUCGGCUCCCACCGCAACCGUGGAUGCGACAACAACAACAAUGACCAGGAUAGAACCCGGCACAACGAUACCCGAAACAACUUCUCGGGUAAUCACAAUCGCAAAAGGAAGCCCGACAACACUGUUGCUGCCAUGACCAACUCCGGGAAAAAGGGAUCCAAAAAAACGAUGAAGGACCGACCUUCACCGAACUACUCAAAAAGCAGUGCCCAUGGCACCCGACUAGCAAACACUCGGCAAUAGACUGCUACAGCAUGCGCCGAGUAAUGCAAGACUUACUCGCGCCUCCACCCCCUGAAGAGUACACCAAGAAAAAUGAUAAGGGCAAGAACAAAAUAAACAAUGACGAAGAAGAAGAAGGCGACUUCCAGAUCGCCUCAAAAACUGUCAACGUCAUCUUUGGCGGAAUCCCAGGCACCGCAUCCAAGCAAGCCAAGAAACUCGUACUCAGGGAAAUCAUGGCCAUCGAACCAACAGAUCCAACACCGCUAAAGUGGUCAGAAGUACCCAUUUCCUUCAGCAGAAAGGACCAAUGGACCAAGUUUUCAGAACUAGGCCGGUUCCCCCUAGUACUCGAUCCGGUUGUGGCAGGCUCGAAGUUAACCAAAGUUCUCAUUGACAACGGAAGUGGGCUCAACGUCAUUUUCGCCAAGACAUUGAGGAAGAUGUGCCUCAACGUUACAGAAAUGCUUACUCCAACGGAUUCACCCUUCUAGGGCAUCGUACCUGGAAACGCAGCUAUACCACUAGGACAAGUCGUCCUUCCAGUUACCUUUGGAACUAAGGAACACUAUCGCACCGAGUACAUCAGAUUUGAAGUCGCUGACUUCGAGACAUCUUACCACGCCAUACUCGGAAGACAAGCACUCGCCAAGUUCAUAGCCAUACCACACUACGUUUAUUUGGUACUCAAAAUGCCAGGCCCCAAGGGAGAACUAACGCUACGAGGAGAUCUACGGCGAUCCUACGAAUGCGACACCGAAGCCGUAGAAAUCACUGUGACUUCUCAAGCACCUAGCCCCAUGCAACAAAUCUUCACAACUUCAAAGAAGCUCCAUCCAACUGAACUCGAGAUCCCAGAAAACAGGUCGGGGUCUACAAAGGUGAAACCCGCCAGCGAGCAAGACUUCAAACCAGUCGACCUCCGAACGGGUGACUCCUCCAAGACAGCCCUGAUCGGAAUAGGGCUAGAUCCUAAAUAGGAAUCCGCGCUCGUCAGUUUCCUUCGGGCUAACCACGAUAUCUUCUCUUGGAAACCGGCUGACAUGCCAGGUGUGCCCAAGGAGCUGAUCGAGCACUCUCUAAAUGUUGAUCCCAAAGCUACCCCAAAAUGGCAGCGACUUCGCAGAUUCGCUCAAGACAGAUGAGAAGCAAUCAAGAAAGAGUUGGCCAAGCUAUUCGCGGCAGGGUUCAUCAAAGAGGUCUUUCACCCUGACUGGCUAGCAAAUCCCGUACUCGUGCGUAAGAAAAACAACGAGUGGAGGAUGUGCGUCGACUACACCGACCUCAACAAGCACUGUCCAAAACAGCUUUCAUCACACCUUUCGGAGCUUUCUGCUACAAAACAAUGUCCUUCGGACUAAAGAAUGCUGAGGCAACCUAUCAACGAGCUAUACAAAUGUGCUUCGAAAAGCAGUUUCACUGCAAUGUUGAGGCUUAUGUCGACGAUGUUGUCGUCAAAACAAGGAACCAGGAGGAACUCAUCCCUGAUUUGGAGGAAACUUUCUCCAGUCUACAAGCUUUCCGAUGGAAACUCAAUCCUACUAAGUGUGUCUUCGGAGUACCUUCUGGCAAGUUACUUGGGUUCAUCAUUAGCCAUAGCGGCAUUGAAGCCAACCCGGAAAAAAUAUAUGCCAUCACAAACAUGCAAGCACUAGCUAGCAUCAAGGAUGUGCAGAAACUCAUAGGCUGCAUGGUCGCUCUCAACCGGUUCAUCUCGAGACUUGGAGAACGGGGAGUACCCUUCUUUAAGCUUCUCAAACGCCAGGACAAGUUCAAAUGGACGGAAGAGGCAGACAAGGCACUAACACAACUCAAAGACUUUCUGUCAAAGCCUCCUGUACUCACCACUACUUCUCCGAAUGAAGACUUGCUCCUAUACAUAUCAGCUACUACUCAUCUCAUCAGCACGGCAAUAGUAGUCGAACGGUCUGAACCGGGCCACGCUUACAAGGUCCAACGACCUAUCUACUUCAUCAGCGAAGUACUCUCGGACUCCAAAACUCGGUAUUCACCAAUACAAAAGCUCUUAUACGCAAUCCUGCUCACCUCCCGGAAACUGCGCCAUUAUUUCCAGGAGCACAACAUAACAGUCAUCUCUGACUUCCCGCUCGGCGAAAUUCUUCACAACAGAGACACCACAGGUAGAAUCUCCAAAUGGGCAGUUGAACUCGGAGCUCUCACCUUGGAUUUCAAGCCAAGGACAGCUAUCAAAUCCCAAGCUCUGGUCGACUUCGUGGCUGAAUGGACUGAAAACCAAGUACCAACACCAGUCGAGGUGCCGGAGCACUGGGUAAUGUACUUCGACGGGUCCCUCAAACUUGAAGGGGCCGGUGCAGGUGUACUCCUUAUCUCUCCCAAGGGAGACCAGGUAAAAUAUGUACUGCAAAUCUUCUGGGAAGCAUCAAACAACGAAGCCGAGUAUGAAGCACUGCUACACGGCCUUCGCCUCGCAAUCUCCCUCGGCAUCAAAAGACUACUGGUGUACGGCGACUCACUAGUCGUUAUAAACCAAGUCAAUGAUGAAUGGGACCGUAACAAGGAUAACAUGGACGCUUACUGCAAAAAAGUUCGCAAAUUGGAAAACAAGUUCUCAGGCUUGUAGUUUCAUCAUAUCGUCCGCGACAACAACGUAGCCGCCGACGUAUUAUCCAAAAUAGGCUCAACUCGUGCAGAGGUUCCAGCUGGAAUUUUCGUACACGAACUGCACAAGCCGUACAUACCUGAACAAGUUACACCACCAGUAGUCCAGGCUGCUGACGCCACUCGAGAAAUCUUGAUGAUAGAAGUCGAUUGGAGAACACCCUUCAUUGACUACAUCAAAGAUCACAAGCUACCAUCUGACAAAAAUCAGGCUGAGCAAAUCUCCCGACGCGUAAAAAAUUACAUUCUAGUCGGAGACAAACUCUACAGGAAAAGUGCAUCAUCAGGGGUACUCAUGAAGUGCGUUACCCGUGAAGAUGGCCAGGAAAUCUUAGAAGAAAUACACAAGGGAAUCUGUGGCAACCACGCGUCUUCGCGAACAAUAGUUGGCAUGGCUUUCAGAGCGGGCUUCUACUGGCCAAUGGCUCUGGCCGACGCUAAACAACUAGUUCAAAAGUGCAAAGGUUGUCAAUUCUUUACCAAACAGUAGCAUGUACCGGCCUACAAGCUAGUCACAAUACCUCCAACGUGGCCGUUCGCCUGCUGGGGGCUUGACAUGAUAGGGCCAUUACCAACUGCGCUAGGAGGAUUCAACCGAGUACUCGUGGCAAUCGACAAAUUCACCAAGUGGAUCGAGGUCAAACCAGUAACUUGCCCCAAGGCAGACCGAGUCCUUUACUUCUUGGAUGACAUCGUACACCGAUAUGGUUUUCCCAAUAGGAUCAUCACAGACUUCUGGAAAUAUUGUGAGAAUAGUGGAAUCGACGUUUGCUAUGUCUCGGUCGCUCACCCGCGAGCUAAUGGACAAGUCGAGCGUGCCAACGUCAUGAUACUCGAUGCUCUCAAGAAAAGACUACACGACGUCGGCAACACCAAAGGCGGUAAAUGGCUCAAGGAGUUACCCAACGCUCUGUGGGGACUAUGAACCCAACCAUGCAAGAUUACUGGGCUCUCGCCCUAUUUUCUCGUGUAUGGCUCGGAAGCCAUACUACGCGCCGACAUCAUGUGGAAGUCACCUUCAGUUGAACAAUACGAUGAAGAAUUGACAGAAGAAACAAGGCAAACAGAUCUAGACAGUCUAGAAGAAGUAAGAUGCGCAGCGCUAGUGCAAUCUGCCAGGUACCUUGACGGUUUGAGGCGUUAACACGACCGUAACGUCAAGUAAUGAUCUUUUAACUUGGGAGAUAUGGUCCUCAAGCGAAUCCAAGACACGAUAGGGUUGCAUAAACUCAAUUCACCAUGGGAGGGUUCUUACAUCGUAUCAAAGGGUACGGGACCCGGAUCGUACAGACUGAAAGAGCUUUCAGGAGAACAAGUACCAAACUCUUGGAAUAUAGAACAUCUUUGUCGCUACUACCCAUAGCAGUACCCGAGUAAUUGCCUCAAAACAAAAACUCAUGUCAACUACUUGAGCCAACAGCUCGACUACCAACUACAAGAUAUACCAUUUUUGCCCCAAGAUUAUCAACUCAACAAGCAUCACUGCCCUGGUACAAAGUUUCAGUGGAUAAGUAAUUCUUUACUCAAGACCGAAGAUACAUCAACAAGUUACAUACGAGUAAAAGUACCCGAAAAUACAAAAGGACUACAAGCAACUGCCUACUGGCGGGCUGCAUUUAAGCCUCAGGCUUUUACUAUAUCACAAGGCCACUCAGGUCUGCAGCCUACAAUGGGGAGGGCCUACACGCAAGGAAGCUACGCAAAAUGCAACCAUAUCCAGGUCCUCUACCCAAGGCAACACUAGGAACUCCUGCAUCGCCACUGCCUUGAUAGCGGCAACGAUGAAUCCUGCGCGACGCGCCCAGAGGGAACCAAGGAUGCUCUUUUGCUAGCCUUGCCAAGCCAACCCACUCUACGGCCACACCUCCACCUCUAAGAGAGCGGGAUAAAGACCGCGGCACUUGUCACCUAUCACUCGCGAGUUCCAGCGUAUACGCCACUGGAUCACGAGCUGCAAGAUAAGGCGCGCGAUGAAAUCUCCUACGAGGAUUCUUCUAGCAUCGCGGCUAUCCCUACGAGCGCUGGAGUCUGUGGAGGAAAGGUGGCCACAAUCUACGAGGAAUCUUCUAGCACCGGUGCAUUCUUUGAUGGCUCUCUACACUCAAAUAACAACAACCGAUGGCAAUCCAUUGUUACUCCAAAACUUGAUUCGGGUCGACCUCCAGGAGGAGCUAUUUAUAGCCACAAGCCAUAACUACCACCCACCUAGGAGUUACUAUAUGCCCAUGAUCAAUGAGUCUGACGACUUCUGACUCUGCCCAUGAGAAAGCAUUCAUGCCACAAAGGACAAAAGAGUACAGUACACCCGUGCAUCACCAAAAAGCGGAGUACUCGACAGCAUCAUGACUACUCGAAACUCAAAACUACUCCAGCCAAGCACGGCCUGCGCUCGAUGUUGGAGGUAUGCCCUAGAGGCAAUCAUAGAGAUGAUGAUAUUCCAUUUGUAUCCAUGAUUUGUAUAUUGUGUUCAUUGAAUAUCCAUUAAAGGCUACUUGAAUUGAUUUGCAAUUAUAUGAAUUGUAUGUGAAACUCUUUACUUGUAUGGUUAUUCUAAAGUUGUCCCUAGUCGGAGUUCAUGUGAGGACACACAUGAAUAUUAGACUAGCACAUGUAUUAGUUGAUGACUAUGUUUCACAAGUCAUGGACAUGGAGAUGUUGAACUAAUAAUGUGGACACAUGUGGAGACAUGUGUUAGGACUGACCCAACACGAGAAGUAGUUCUCUCUUUAAACAACAUAUACGCUUUGUCCUUAGACCUGAGAUUGUCGCAUGUAUUCUAGAUGUGGAUCGACCUACUUAGGGGCUAUCAAACGCUACGCCGUAACAGGGUAGUUAUAAAGGUAGCUUUCGGGUUUGUCAAGAAGCAUGCUAUGAGACAUGGUCAAUCAAGAUGGGAUUUGCCCCUCUCUAAUUGAGAGUGAUAUCUCUGGGCCCCUCGAGUGAUCGGAUCCGAAAAUGCAUGGCCAUGCUACGUACGGUUAAGAGUUAACCUACAAAGGGAUUCCGAAUCACAGGAUCGAGAAAGAGCGGUCAGCUUGAAGCUAGACCAAAUAUCGUGAGGCAAAGGGAAUAGCAUGUAUAUUAUGUUGUGAUGGUUCGUCUGAUAUGAUCUUCGUAUGCGUAUAGGAGUUGGCACGUCUUGCUAGAGGCCGCUACCGACUAUUGGGCCGAGUAGGAGUACUCGGGCCAUGUCUAUACGUAUCCGAACCCAUAGGGUCACACACUUAAGGGGCUGGAAGCCCAAUUCGGAUCUGAUCCGAGUUGGAUUAGGUUUAGGAGUGCUAAUGGGCCUCGGAUCCAGAGGCCCAUCAGGAACCUCUAUAAAUAGAGGGGUGGGGGCGCCCUAGGGUUUACACCUUUUGGCUGAACACACUUGCCGCGCCUCCCACGCCCUCACCUGUUGCAACUCGCGGAUCUAGCAAUCCGGCUUGCGACGCUUCCUCCCUGCACGUGUGGAUACCUUGGAGGUGUUGCGCCUGCAGCACUUGGACGAGCCAUCGACGAGCCGCCGACGAGCCACGACGAGCUGACGACGAGCCGCGGCACCGGAGGCGAUCUUGCUGUGCACGUGGACGAGCUGCUGAGGAGCCGCUGGACGUGAUCGACUACGUACGACUACGUUGUUCGACUACGUACGACUACGUGAUCGUCUUCACUGCACCGACGCAUAUCUACAUCUUCCGCACCAGUAGUGCGUCGAGUGGUAAUCCCGUGAUCCUUAUACGGCAGUUCUUCCUGGUUAUACGCGGUAGAAAUUUUGAUUUGCGCUAGCGUAGCCUACCUCGUAUCCCGACAGUGGUAUCAAGAGCCUUAGCUGCUUAGUUUUGGAUUCGGGAUGUGUGCAUAUGGAGAUAUGCGAGUUUUCUGUUUGAUCUAUGUCCUGGUUUCGUGCCCUUGCUGCAAUGGUAGUGUAACGACAUACUCCUACCGGUCGGUUUCCGCCAUCGGAGUUAAGUGAUACACGUAAAUCCAGUUGCAGUGAGGGAAGAUCAAUAUGAUUGGUCGAAUCGAGAUCCAGGGUCAUACGCCAGGCGCAUUAGAUGUACAAUGGUAGAUGGGAUCUACUGCCGGGGUCGGGAUUUUGCCGUAUGCGCAUGCUUCGGUAAAUCAGCCGUAACUUUUCGGUACGAUCUCGGAUCGAGGCGAUUUCUGUACAAAAAUUGAUCUACAGAAAAAGUUACACGUGAAUUUCAACGGCUUAGCCGUUUUCGGCGAAAUUAGAUUUGCCAAAUUCGGCUUGGAAGAUGGAGUUUCGGGCCUCCGAAGUUUGGAAUGUUAGGACGCCUAACUCUCUUUUGCAGGAUGUAUCUUGUGAUCAGUAUGGCCCCCCUUGUGUAUGUGAUGCAUGUGUGUAACUAAUUCGUGACCUGCGUGUUGCGCGUACGGCAACACGGCAGGAGCCAUAUGUGUUGUCACUUUAUUGUAUUUAAUGGUCUGCGUACCAAUCUGUGAUGAUCCAAGCAACUAUGUAAUCUUCAUUACUAGAUUCUUUACUAGCUAUUAGACGUAAUAGCAUGCUCUAGUUCUUGGAGGACUCAUCACCAGGAGGAUGGCGCACAUGGAACAUGGAGAUGGAGAUCACCAUGGUGAACAGGUUCUAUGGAGAUGGAGAUCACCAUAUGAAAACGGGCCAUACUGUGUCACGAGCUGUGUGAAUGCUAUUCUGUUUAUGUUUUACUUUCUGCAUGCUGUGAUGUUAGAAGUAGAACGAUCCCUCGCAAAUUUUAAGUUAGUAUGCCCUCCCAACUAAAACUUGCACCGUCCCAUGUCUUGUACAAUUAGUGGUGGGUCUAUGAAAUUAGGGUGCCACUAGUUUUCCUUGACUAGAUGGGUUUGUGUCGGACACUUACACGCAUAAGGGUUGGUUUGCUUAACGAGGUCAUCUUAACGGUUAAGGACCUUGGGGCAUAAAGGUUGGGCGCCGAGACAUAGAGAUGUCACCCAACAACAGGAGUCAUAUGUGAUAUGAUUAGCAAAAGUUGCUUACCGAUCUACCUUGUUUGCUAGCGGUGAUGCUAAAGCUCACUAGUAGACUUGUUAGUUGUGGAUCCUGAAUCACUAAGUUUCAAUAGAGGGAUAUUGAUUUUAGUGGGAGUAGAUUCUGUUAAAAUAGUUUAAUGUAAUUUGCUCUAUCAUGGAUACGUUUGUCUUAGUGUAUUUUGCAUUACUUUUGUUGUAGAUUAAAUGGCACCUAGCAACACCACCACAUCGUUUGCUUUGCGUUCGGUCCUUGAGAAGGACAAGUUGAAUGGAACAAACUACUCGGAUUGGAUCCGCAACCUGAGAAUUGUUCUUAGGGCUGAGAAAAAGGAAGAUGUUCUAGACAACCCACUACCAGAAGAACCUGCUGAGGAUGCACCCGCUGCUGCUAAGAAUGCUUACAAGAAAGCAUGUGAUGCUAACCUUGAAGUAAGCUGCCUUAUGCUUGCUUGCAUGGAACCCGAGCUGCAGAUGCAGUUCGAAACAAACCAUGAGGCACACGAUAUGAUCGUGGCGCUUAGAGACAUGUUCCAAACACAGGCCAGGACUGAAAGGUUCAAUGUGUCUAAGGCCUUUGUUGAGAGCAAGCUAGCAGAAGGUGCAGCAGUAGGACCACACGUAAUCAAGAUGGUUGGUUACACUCAACGGUUGGAGAAGCUAGGCUUCCCACUGGGCCAAGAGUUGGCCACUGAUUUCAUUCUUUCGUCUCUUCCGCCCAGCUAUGGGAACUUCAUCUCGAACUACCAUAUGCAUGGGACGGAGAAGGGAUUGAAUGAGCUGUGUGGUAUGCUCAAGACAGCAGAGGUUGACAUUAAGAAAAGCGCUAGUACCAGCCAUGUGAUUCUUGGAAGAAGAAGGGCAAGGCUGGAACGUCCAAGCCAAACCCACCGCCCAAGGUUAAAUCUGGACCUGGACCUGCUCCAGAUAAAGAGUGCUUUUACUGUCAUGAACUUGGUCACUGGAAGAGAAACUGCAAGCAGUACCUAGCUUCGUUGAAGAACGGCGGAAGUAAGAGUACUUCUACCUCAGGUACGCUUGUUGUUAAUGUUAUAGACAACAUAUUUCUCGCUGAUACAGUUAUUAAUUCUUGGGUAUUUGAUACCGGAUCGGUUGCUCAUAUUUGCAAUUCGAUGCAGGGAAUGAUAAGAAGUAGAAGCGUGGAAAGAGGAGAAGUUGAUUUCCGCGUGGGCAAUAAUGCAAGAGUUGCUGCUUUGACCGUCGGGACGAUGCAACUCCACCUCCCGUCAGGAUUUAUUAUGGAGUUGAAUAAUUGUUAUUUUGUUCCUAGUUUAAGUCGAAACAUUUUGUCUCCUUCAUGCUUGAUGAAGGAUGGUUAUUCAUUUGCGAGUGAAAACAAUGGUUGUGUGAUCUCUAAGAAUAAUAUGUUUAUGGCUUUUGCACCCAUUGUGAAUGGAUUGUUUGUUUUAAAUCUUGAUGGUUCACCUGUCUGUAAUGUAAGUGCUAAAAGGCCUCGGCCUAAUGAUUUGAGUCCUACCUACUUGUGGCAUUGUCGUUUGGGUCAUAUAAGUGAAAAGCGCAUGAAGAAGCUCCAUUCUGAUGGACUUCUAACUUCGUUUGAUUUUGAAUCAUACGAGACAUGUGAGGCUUGCUUGCUAGGCAAGAUGACCAAGACGCCUUUCACAGGAUUUCCUGAGAGAGCAGUAGACUUGUUGGAACUCGUACAUAGUGAUGUAUGCGGACCAAUGAGCACGACGGCUAGAGGAGGAUUCCAAUACUUCAUAACUUUCACUGAUGAUUUUAGUAGAUAUGGCUAUGUCUACUUGAUGAGGCACAAGUCUGAAACCUUUGAAAAGUUCAAGGAAUUUCAGAAUGAAGUUGAAAAUCAGCGUGGCAAGAAAAUUAAGGCCUUACGAUCUGAUCGUGGAGGCGAGUAUUUGAGCCACGAGUUUAGCAAUCAUCUAAAGAGUUGCGGAAUUGUUCCACAACUUACGCCGCCUGGAACACCUCAGAGAAACGGUGUGUCCGAGCGACGUAAUCGAACUUUGUUAGACAUGGUUCGAUCAAUGAUGAGCCAGUCGGACCUACCGUUGUCAUUUUGGGGAUACGCUCUAGAAACAGCAGCUUUCACACUAAAUAGGGUACCAUCUAAAUCCGUAGUUAAGACACCAUAUGAGAUAUGGACUGGAAAGGUUCCCAGUUUGUCUUUUCUAAAGAUUUGGGGAUGUGAAGUGUUUGUCAAGCGACUUCAGUCGGACAAGAUCACCCCCAAGUCGGAUAAGUGCAUUUUCGUGGGAUAUCCAAAGGAAACUUUGGGAUAUUAUUUCUACAACCGAUCAGAAGGCAAAGUGUUUGUCGCUCGGAACGGGGUUUUCCUAGAGAAAGAGUUUCUCAAAGGAGAAAAGAGUGGAAAGACAGUGCAUCUUGAAGAAGUUCAAGAUGAGCCAAUCGAGCAAGAAUCAAUGAGUGAUGCUAACGUAGCAGAACAAGUUGAGAUACCCAUGGCAAGAGAAGCACCGCCACAACCACGAAGGUCGGCAAGGCUCCGCGAAAUGCGAGAAAUAUUAUUGUUGGACAAUGAUGAGCCUGCGACAUAUGCAGAAGCAAUGAUGGACCCAGACUCCGAAAAAUGGCAGAGUGCCAUGCAAUCCGAAAUAGAGUCCAUGGGAGACAAUCAAGUUUGGAACUUGGUUGACCCGCCUGAUGGUGUUAAAGCCAUAGAGUGCAAGUGGAUCUAUAAGAAGAAAAAGGACAUGGAUGGAAAUGUUCACAUCUAUAAAGCACGACUUGUCGCAAAAGGUUUUCGACAAGUUCAAGGAGUUGACUACGACGAGACCUUCUCGCCCGUAGUGAUGCUUAAGUCCAUUCGGAUUAUUCUAGCUAUAGCUGCAUAUUUCAAUUAUGAGAUAUGGCAGAUGGAUGUCAAGACAGCUUUCCUGAAUGGAAACCUAGCUGAGGACGUGUAUAUGAUACAGCCCGAGGGUUUUGUCGAUCCGAAAAAUGCUGGAAAGGUAUGCAAGCUUCAGAGAUCCAUUUAUGGAUUGAAGCAAGCAUCUAGGAGUUGGAACAUUCGUUUUGAUGAAGUGGUCAAAGGGUUUGACUUCACCAAGAACGAAGAAGAGUCUUGUGUUUACAAGAAGGUUAGUGGGAGCUCUGUAGUAUUUCUAAUCUUAUAUGUGGAUGACAUAUUACUGAUUGGAAAUAACAUUCCUAUGCUUGAGUCCGUAAAGACUUCACUGAAAAAUAGUUUUUCGAUGAAGGACUUAGGGGAAGCGGCAUAUAUUCUGGGCAUUAAGAUCUAUAGAGAUAGAUCGAGAAGGCUUAUAGGUUUGAGCCAAGAUACUUAUAUUGACAAAGUGUUGAAGCGGUUCAGCAUGGAAGAGGCAAAGAAAGGGUUCUUGCCUAUGUCACAUGGCAUACAUCUCAGCAAGACUCAGUGUCCUUCGACUGCUGAUGAGCGGGAUCGCAUGAGUAGAGUACCAUAUGCCUCGGCUAUUGGAUCUAUCAUGUAUGCAAUGAUAAGUACUCGCCCAGAUGUUUCAUAUGCGCUAAGCAUGACAAGCAGACACCAAUCUGAUCCAGGUGAGAGUCACUGGACAGAGGUGAAAAAUAUUCUUAAGUACUUGAGAAGGACUAAAGAUAUGUUCCUCGUCUAUGGAGGUCAGGAGGAGCUCGUUGUAACAGGUUACACCGAUGCUAGUUUCCAAACUGACAGAGAUGAUUCAAAGUCACAAUCAGGAUUUGUGUUCACACUGAAUGGUGGUGCUGUUAGUUGGAAGAGUUCCAAGCAGGAGACGGUGGCCGAUUCUACGACGGAAGCCGAGUACAUCGCGGCUUCGGAAGCCGCGAAGGAAGGUGUUUGGAUUAGGAAUUUCCUCAUUGAGCUUGGUGUGUUCCCGAAUGCGUCCAGCCCAUUGAAUCUCUACUGUGAUAACAAUGGGGCAAUUGCGCAAGCAAAGGAGCCAAGGAACCACCAGAAGACCAAACACGUAAUGCGGCGAUUUCAUCUCAUUCGAGACUUCAUUAACCGGGGUGAGAUCAAGAUAUGCAAAAUACACACGGAUCUGAACAUUUCUGAUCCGUUGACAAAACCACUCCCGCAGGCUAAGCAUGAUGCGCAUGUAAGAGCUAUGGGUAUUAGGUACCUUCUAGAUUGACUCUAGUGCAAGUGGGAGACUGUUGGAGGUAUGCCCUAGAGGCAAUCAUAGAGAUGAUGAUAUUCCAUUUGUAUCCAUGAUUUGUAUAUUGUGUUCAUUGAAUAUCCAUUAAAGGCUACUUGAAUUGAUUUGCAAUUAUGUGAAUUGUAUGUGAAACUCUUUACUUGUAUGGUUAUUCUAAAGUUGUCGCUAGUCGGAGUUCAUGUGAGGACACACAUGAAUAUUAGACUAGCACAUGUAUUAGUUGAUGACUAUGUUUCACAAGUCAUGGACAUGGAGAUGUUGAACUAAUAAUGUGGACACAUGUGGAGACAUGUGUUAGGACUGACCCAACACGAGAAGUAGUUCUCUCUUUAAACAACAUAUACGCUUUGUCCUUAGACCUGAGAUUGUCGCAUGUAUUCUAGAUGUGGAUCGACCUACUUAGGGGCUAUCAAACGCUACGCCGUAACAGGGUAGUUAUAAAGGUAGCUUUCGGGUUUGUCAAGAAGCAUGCUAUGAGACAUGGUCAAUCAAGAUGGGAUUUGCCCCUCUCUGAUUGAGAGUGAUAUCUCUGGGCCCCUCGAGUGAUCGGAUCCGAAAAUGCAUGGCCAUGCUACGUACGGUUAAGAGUUAACCUACAAAGGGAUUCCGAAUCACAGGAUCGAGAAAGAGCGGUCAGCUUGAAGCUAGACCAAAUAUCGUGAGGCAAAGGGAAUAGCAUGUAUAUUAUGUUGUGAUGGUUCGUCUGAUAUGAUCUUCGUAUGCGUAUAGGAGUUGGCACGUCUUGCUAGAGGCCGCUACCGACUAUUGGGCCGAGUAGGAGUACUCGGGCCAUGUCUAUACGUAUCCGAACCCAUAGGGUCACACACUUAAGGGGCUGGAAGCCCAAUUCGGAUCUGAUCCGAGUUGGAUUAGGUUUAGGAGUGCUAAUGGGCCUCGGAUCCAGAGGCCCAUCAGGAACCUCUAUAAAUAGAGGGGUGGGGGCGCCCUAGGGUUUACACCUUUUGGCUGAACACACUUGCCGCGCCUCCCACGCCCUCACCUGUUGCAACUCACGGAUCUAGCAAUCCGGCUUGCGACGCUUCCUCCCUGCACGUGUGGAUACCUUGGAGGUGUUGCGCCUGCAGCACUUGGACGAGCCAUCGACGAGCCGCCGACGAGCCACGACGAGCCGACGACGAGCCGCGGCACCGGAGGCGAUCUUGCUGUGCACGUGGACGAGCUGCUGAGGAGCUGCUGGACGUGAUCGACUACGUACGACUACGUUGUUCGACUACGUACGACUACGUGAUCGUCUUCACUGCACCGACGCAUAUCUACAUCUUCCGCACCAGUAGUGCGUCGAGUGGUAAUCCCGUGAUCCUUAUACGGCAGUUCUUCCUGGUUAUACGCGGUAGAAAUUUUGAUUUGCGCUAGCGUAGCCUACCUCGUAUCCCGACACUCGAAACAAAUCAGUCUCGGGGGCUUGGAGAAGUCCGACCCAUUGCUCAAGGGUUAGGCAAUGCGAAGCCUCGCGGCAAGGGGUCGGGCGAGGCGGAGUUCCCCAUUUAGGGGUCAGGCUUAGCCAACCCCGCGGCUGUGGGUCAGGCGAGAUAGAGUAAACUACUCUUCGCAAGAUAACCACUUCAAGCAACAAAAGAAAUAAGCAAGCAUUCAUUUAUCAAAGUAUCGUCCAAAGUACUCAAACAACUACGGAGUACAUAAAAGUUGAAGGCUCCUCUGGAGAUACAAAUUUAGACAUUUUUGACGCAAUUGGCUCUGCCUCCUCAAGAUACUGCGCAUAUGCUUCUUCUGUGCAGUUGCGAGCCACGCCGUCACCAGCCGCCGUCAAGUCCGCCCUCGGGUAGUAUGACUUCACCACAGCAAGGACCUAUUUGCAAACAGCUUUGCAGAGACCUGCCACUUUACCCGGGGCAGCCUUCAAUCGUUCGACUAGCGAUUGGUGCCCUACGUUCUCUUCUACGGGGGCAAUGGCAUUCACCAAAUGUUCAGCUGCUACAGUCAACUCCUGGAGUUCGCCUCGGAGUCUUUCCAUGGUCUGGGCAUGAUCUCUGCAUGCCACCAUGGCCAUAGCAAGCAUCACUCCAUUUUGCAUCUUCAUGUCUCGCUGAUGCUCGCAAGCAGCCUGUGCUUCUGUCAGCGCGGCCCGAGGAUGUUCAGCUUCAUCCGCCACUCGGUCGUGCGCGUCCCUCCAAUCAAGGAGUUGGCUACUAGCAGCUAUCUCUCGCCUCUUGAGCUCUACAAAAAUGGCCAGUUCAAACAACAACCGACUACAGUCAGACAUACUCGGAAGAGAUAUACUACUCACCUUGAUACUUUUUGUUCAAAGAUUUAUAGCGGCUCUCUAGCUUCUGCUGCAAGACCUCGUGAUCUGACCGCUCCACAACAAAAGAUUUUGCUCCAGCCUCAUGUACUCUCAAAGCUUCUGUAAGUCGGGCACAUUUCUGCUCCAAUUGAUGACUUUGUUCCUGAAGGGUCCGUGUGUGCAAAGUGUGCGCGAUUAGUCAAAGGCCUCACAAUUACUCAAUCUACGUAACAAAGCAAAGUAAAUUCACCUGGGAGCUCCGAAAAACAUUGACAACCCUCUGGAACUCUAAGUUAGAUGGCAAGCUGAGUAGUGGUCUUUGAGUACUCUCCGCAAGCUGAGGCGUCGCAUCCAAAGUGGCACCUAAAACAAUUAUCAUUACUCACCUGAUUACCAUGACUACAAUACAGGGACUAUAGAUACAUACCUGGAGUAGUUGACUCUUUGGAUUUUUCCACACCCACUAUAGCCAGAGCUCCGCCAGUGGAUGUUGAUAAAGAAGCACUUCCUGAACUCGAAGCGGCGGUGGGGACCUCCACCGAGCGGAUGACUUCUUGAAGCAUAGACAUAGUAGCUCCAAGGCAACCGGCGUCAACUUCGGGUACUUCCUCGAUAAUAAAAUAUUCCAAGGGAGCAGAUAAAGUAGUCGGGGGAGACGACUCUACUCCUGUCUCCACAGGGAUAGUUUCCUCCGCAUCCCUACAUCAGAAUACAAAGUCAUUAUACGACAUCCAAACAAAAAGAGAUGCACCAGGGAUAAACAAACUCACCGAGUUGAGCGUGGCGGCAAUCGCACACGUUUCUUCUCGGCAAUAGUUGGCCGAGUACUUGGCGCCGCAGGAACAGCCGCCGGCGCUGUCUUCUCGCCAAGGCCUGAGAAACACAGCGUCAAGACUACAAUACAAAUUAAACUAACAUAACUAGUCGGGAUAGAAAAGCUUACCACUAGCAAUUAUAUUGGACAACAGGAAACCAGUAGCGACUACUGGCAACACUUCCUUCGCAACACCAGCUCCUCCGGUGGCCAGUAACCGGUAGCGCGGCAGUUGAUGGAGCCUGUGCGGUCAGCUCGGGGGCUCCAACAUCCGUUGGCGGCACCUCCUCGGGCACCUUCUCAACAAACGCAAUACCGACUCCCAGGUCGGUCAUGACUACUUCUCCAGAAGUAGCCUCAUCAUCACCAAGUGUCGCAUCAACAACCUUCAGAACAAAGACAAAGUAAUCACGAGAUUGCAAGAUCAAGUCUAUCAGAAACAAUUGAAUACAUAGCUACAUACCUUGGCACCCUGAGAUUUCUCAGGAGUUGAAGCAGACUUAGCCGCAGACAUCUUGCGGACUACUCUGCAUUUUUUCACAGGAGGGGAGGGCUCGUCCUCUGACUCCUCAACGACAGUCUCUUCUUCCGACUGCGCCAAAUAGCCGGCAAGUACUCGAGACUAAAAAAAUAAAGUCGAUAUUCAAAACAAAUAUCACACAAGUCAAAAAAAAGUACAAACUCAAGUACAAGGACAUACCACUUCUGGCUCAUACCAGGCAUCAUACUACCGAAGAGUUGCAAGGAUCACUGGUACUCCCUGGUAGUUCCUGAAGAACUUGGCCAGCAACACCUCCACAUCAUCAUCGAAUAUAUCUUCUUCAGACAUACGCGAUGGAUCGUAAAGACCUGUGUACUCACUCCUCGAGUGAGCACGUUUCUGAAGCGGUUGGACUCUUCUCUUGAGAAAACUAGCCGCCACAUUAAUUGCAGUGAGACCGAGUACCUUCAACUCGGUAAUCUGCUGCAGCAAGUGCUCAAGUUCCGGGGUGUCUUCAGGUUCGCUCACCCAGUUUUCUGCAUGCUUUGGCGCGUGGCCGGUAACCACCGGCAAGCGUGGAUCAUGGUUCCCAAUGUAGAACCACCUUUUCUUCCACUCCCCAUGGGAGUCAGUCAAAUGGUACUCAAUAUAUGCACCCGAGUUCCUGAGUUGGAACCCGACGCCUCCAAAGACCUCUGUCCUAUGCGCACUAGGCUGAGGUUUACAGCGGAACAACUUUUGAAACAACUCAAGGCUCGGAGGAACUCCUAAGUAAACUUCACAGAGGUGUACGAAAAUGGACAUAUGCAGUACACCAUUGGGGUUCAAAUGAACAAGUUGAAGCUUAUAGUACUCGAGGAUACCUCUGAAGAAGUCGGAGGUGGGCACUGCCAACCCCCUCUCCACAAAGUGUGCGAGCAUCACUGUCUCGUCUGGGUGUUCCUCAAAUUGCCAUGCAUUUGCAAAAGCAGAGCACCACUCGAGUACCUCCUUCGCCUGUAUAAGCUUGGCGUCAACUAGCACCUGCACGGCCUCCUCCUUCAUCACCGAAUGCUGCCACAUCGCUCCAGGCGGCGGCAGCGCAGUCUGAUUCAUCGGCCCCACCUUCGGCACCGGCAGCACCAGUUCUUUCCCCUUCUUGGACUUCACCUUGCCCGCCGCUGGAACCUUGCCUUGGAUCUUCUCGGGUUUCUUGCCCAUCUUCUUGGUGCACAUUCGUCGAUUUCAACCCCAGCAAAAUGCACUCACCCUCGGAUCUCUUUCAUGGAGCAGCAAUGAUGGCGGCGGCAAUUGGCAAUCGCGAUGGCGGAGGAAAACAGGAACAGAAAAGUAGGAGGAAGUAGAGAAACAGAUCUGACUACAGUAGGGUGUAAACCUAACCAAAAGGGGGCCCUACAGUUAUAUCUCCGCUACCUCCGGAUUCCAAGCGUCAGUUACGCAAUGGACGGAUUUUAAGCAGAUUAAUUGCCUUAAACAACCAACGGCUACUCUUUUCAACGGAUUGUUGACCACUUCAACGACAGAAAUCUCCUAAGUGCUCGGGGGCUGCGGGUACCGUACCCGAGGGUCAGAAUUUUCUUUUUCAGAUUUCCAAGGGUAGAAAAGUCAAAAAGCAGGAUUGACCCUAAGCCUGACUCUUCGACUCAACCUAAGGCUCGGGGGGCUACUCCAUAUGGAGUGCGAUUGACAUCGCACUACCAUAUAAAAACUCGGAACAGGCAGCAGCUUAAAGGACCAAGAAGAGUACCUUCCAACCACGCGAUAGUACUCGAGCACCUUGGACACUGCAAUCUCUACGACAAAUUACUCGGAUAGCGCCCACAGUACUCGAGACUAUGGCGCACAACUACAAAGUACUCAGGAGCUUGUCGGGCAUGCACCCCAGGCCCACGAGUAGACCUUGGACGGCCCACUAAGGGGCGUACUCGGAUGUGAUCAGGACAAGGGAUAGAUGUAUCCCACUCGGACUAGUCAAGUAUGUGUAUGGAAAACUACUCGGGUCAUAUCGAGUAGAACUUUGUAAUAGUACUCGACUAAGACUCAGACUUGUAACCCUGCCCUCCCGUGUAUAUAAGGGCGGGCAAGGACCCCCUCAAACAGAACAACUUUAGUUCAUCCAAGAUCAAUACAAACCAACACACAGGAUGUAGGGUAUUACGCAAUCUAGCGGUCCGAACCUGUCUAAAUUGUGUUUCUUGCAUCACCAUUGAUUCCUUGAUUCUCGACGAUCCUUACCGCACAAAAGACCACCUAGGGUACCCCCUAGGCGGGUUGCCGGUCUAAAACACCGACACUAACCCCUUAAUCUUCAUCAAAAUUACCCACUUAUUCCAUUAUAAACAAUAUUUAAAAUAACCCUCUAAUUUGCAACUGAAUUGCCUACCACUAUUACUUAAAGUAACACCUUAAAUUUACAUCUAUAUUACCCACAUAUGCCAUUAUUAAAAAUAACAUGAGGUAACCUUACAUUUUAAUCAAAUAACCUUAAUUAAAAAUAUACAACAAUAUAUGAUUCUAAAUCGUCUAUAUCUUACACUAUUGGUAUACGAUAUAAUAAUUAAGGUCUUUAAGUAUGAUGUGUGUCACCAUUUAUAAGGAUAUAAAGUGAUGAGAAUAUGAAUUUCUAUGCUAAAAUUGUAUAUCAAAAUUAGGGUUCAUUAAACAAAUUCAAUCGCAUACCUGCGAUGCAAAGUGAAAAGUUAAAGAUUAUAAAUGAUGAAAAUAUUAUAAAGUAUUUACUAACUAAAAUCUAUCACAAUUGGAUGAAGAUAUUAAGUAUAUAUCUACAUAAGUUUUAUGUUUGAAUAUUUAACAAAUGAGAGGUAGUUUAUGGUAAUAGUUUUGUAGCAAUGUAGUCUUUUUUUUCCAUUGGAGCCUCCGCAUUAGUUCCCACGAGACAAGCUAGAAAAAAGAGACAAAUUCUCAUAAAAAUUAAAAAACAUCAAACACCAAUCCUAUAAACUCUAAUAAUCAUAGCCAUUGAUCUAUUAUAUUUUCUAAAAGUUACCCACCACUGUCAUGGUGAAACAUUCAAAAAUAAGCUCUAAACCUAUAUCUAAAUUAUCGAGCUCAGCUAUUAUAAAAACUAAUCUAAAGUAACCUCAUAUUACCCAUGAAUGUCGUUAUUAAAAAUAACCUAAAGUAAACAUCUAAAUCUAAUCUAAUUAUCUUUAUGUGCAUGAUAUAGAAAUGUCAAAAAGUAAACUAAUAUAUGAUUCUAAAUUACAUAUUUAUGUCAUUGUUAAUAUAAAAAUACUAAGUUAAAGUAUAUACACAUGAUGAGUGCCACCAUUUAGACCAUUUAUACAAGUACAUGAGGAAUCGAUGAAAAAUAUUGAUUUGUAUGCUAAACAUAAUGUACGGAGGAUUGGAGGUGUGAUACAAAAUGCAAAAAGUAUGAAUAUGGAUGAAAAAGUGCAUAGAGUAAUUAUUAAUUAAAAACAAAUCACAACUGGACAAAGAUAGGUACAUGUCUAUAUAAGUAUUAUGUUGAAUUAUUGAAAAAUAAGAGAGUAGUAAUUAAACAAUUUUGAUUAUUAGCUAGGAGUUUAAUUUCUAAAUAAUUUUUAAAUAAAAAUAUUAGCUCGGGAGCAUGGGUUGAUGGAUUAGUUUCUCCAAUUCCUAAGCACCUGUUAAAUCACAUCACAAAGACAAAAUUUUACUACGCAAGGAAAAAUGUAUCAGCAGUUAUCUGAAGAAAAGCACUCCGCCCUGUGGCAGAGGGUGGUAAUGAAGCAUGGUCUAAAGCUAGUGGUUUCUAGCGUCUGCCUUCCCAAAAUCGAGAGGCACGACCUCCGGAUUGAGCACGAGAAGUUUGCCGCUGCGCGCGCGUGCCACUUCGGCGCCGUUUUACAGCUAUGCCUGAAUGCCUCGCUAGCAGAACAGAGAGAACCGCAAAGCAGUUAGUCGUGCUCGUGCAUCAACAGCCGUGGGUGCGGCGCUAUUCAUAAAAUAGGAAGAAACAUAGCAAUUUUUUAUUGCUGAUCACAGACAAAUCCACAUUCUUGCUCUCAUCAAUUCUCAUGCUGCUCCUUACACAACACACGGAUAUAAAAUGCAAACUAGACCCAAAUAGUGGUAGACAUAAGAAAGAAAGGAGUGCUCUCAUCAAUUUGCGCUAGAGCUCUACUCGAUCGCAAGUGAGGACCCAUUGCUAGGAGCAGCAGCAUUCGCCGGUACAGACAUGUGCACGAUCAGCUCCACCACAAUAUACACCUCGGACACCACCUUGGCCAUCCUCCACAGCACGUAGCCGGCGGCGCGCCGGAGUUGGCCCGUCCCGCCGACGAUCGCGAGCUCCGACUUGUCGUCGUAGAUCCCGACGCGGCCGGCAAUGACGAAGGUGCUGCCGCUGUACGGUCCGUCGGUGAGCGCGACGGUGACGGCGGCCACGAGGACCUCCUCGUGCUGGGAGGACAGCAUGUAGGUGCCCUGCGCCCGGCCGACGGAGCCGGAGUCGAUGCCGGGGCCAUCGGUGACGAGGUCGUCGAUGGCCAUCGUGUCGCCGAAGUACGCGCCCUUCAGGGACUUGUGCGGCGGCCCGGCGUUCCGGAUGAGGUGGAUGGCCGUCUGCUCCGGGCCGCCGAUGAUGUCGUGCAUGUAUAACCGUAGGUGCACCGGGCGCCGGCGGGCGUCCGCGGAGGGAAGCAAGAGAACGAUGACGGCGACGAGUAGUAGCAGUCUAGCAGAUGCUGCGGCUUUGCAAAGCUGGCCAUUGUGAUGAGUUUGUGAGAUGCUGGUUGCUGGAAUAUAUCCAGGAUUUAUUAUAGUUGGGCUUAGCAAAAGCAAUUUCAUAAUCCUUAUUAGGCCAUCUGUAGAAGCAAUUCGUCAUGGGGAAAACAGAAUAGUGAUGAAGCAUAGUAUGAAAUGAAAGAUCAUGUACGACUAUAAUAAGGUUGUAUUCCAGUGCACAGAGUGUUGUCAACAAAGAGCAAUGAAUUAGGAUGCUCAUCAGCGGAACCUCAGUUUUUGGGUGCAGCAAACACCACAAUAUUAGGUUUCCUGUAGCGAAAUUUACCAGUAAGACACAACUAUUGUAAUAUCACAGUUGACAACUCAGUAAGUGUUUCAGCCCAUGUAUUCAUGUGGUGGGAUUAGUCCCACUUGCUCAUAUGGCCAACUGAUCCAAACCAUCGCACACAUGCAUUGGGAUGGCUUUCUUCGGCCUAUAAGCAGGUUUCGAAAGAGAACGAUCAUAUAUGGUUGCCCAUCCUUACCUCUUUUCUCUCCUUUUUGUUGGCCUUUUCGCCCGGUCAAGUUUGACGCAGGUCAGACCUGUCUGUAGGCGUAUUCUUAUUUGUUGGCAAUCCAUUUCUAGCAAUUUAUAAUAACAGAGUAAAAAGGUUUUCAAGUAAUCCUUAGUGCAAUUUCAAUCCAAAUCAUUGGAUCAUAACCCUACAUUUACCAUGUAGGCUGCUAGGGUCAUAUGUGGGCCUGGACUGUGGGAGAAGAUCCAGUUGACACUUGAUAGAGAGGAGGCUGCUAUGGACAUAUCUGUGUGCGAGAGAUGAAACUAAGAUUUAGAUAUAGGAAACUUAGCUAGACUCAAAUAUUAGCAAACCAUACAGAUUUUCUUAGAUAGCCUUUUCACCCAUCUGCACUAACCUACUUUCUUUCCCAACUCCCUUUCUACUGAUUUUGACAAGAACUACUUCUGUGCAAGCUAAGGAUGAUAGUUUUUUUUAUCUUAAAAUAUUGCAUUGCAGUUUUGUAACUAUAUAGAAGAUCAGAUUCAGCUGCAUUAGAUUUCACAGACCAAGUAUAAAUUCUGCAUUCCCCAACCAACAAAUAAAGCUAGAACAGCACCAGUACACAAAGAGACCUUAAAUCCAUCAGAUUUGCGCUUCAAUUCAAUCUGCAGAAAUGCCUAGUCGCUUCCACAAUUAGAGAUAACACGAUUGGUUAUAGAGAAAUAAAAGGGGCAGUUAGGACACCCAAGCUACACCCCAAAAGCAUCAAAAUCACAUCUUUAUGAUUUCUUUUCUUCUGGCGAUAAGCACGCACAAAGCAGGCAACUGAUUACUCGAAUUGAAUCAGCCAGGUACACAAACUCACAUAGGACCACAUUACUAAACGAGGACCAUAUACCAGAGAAAAGAAAUCCGCAUGGGCAAAGGCAGGUAGAGGCCAACACCCACUUGAGGACGCAGCCCCAAAAAUUUCACCUCACCGAUGCUACACGACGGCUGUCGAUUCAGCAUACACCGAGGCGCAUAACGCAAGUGGCAAGCUAGUGGUAGCAAACGACGAUACGGAUGUGGGGAAGGGGCAGCGCUAAGAGGGCAAAACAGGAAGGACAGCCAAAUUCUGAGCAAAAAUUAACAAGAAUCCAGAAGCAAGUGCGCCCCAAAAUUACAAUCUAGGUGGCCGAACUUCAAAUGGAAACUACGAUAAACCCGUACCUGAUUCUAUAAACAGGGCAGCUGAAAUCGUACAAGAAAACAAGGCUUGAAUCUGAAACCAAUACUACAAUGCACCCAAAACAAGCAAGCUCAGCUAGUGAAAAAAAAUUCAAGAAGCGCGGCUUCCUUUGGAACCGCUAACCCUACCACGCAAGGAACUAAAUCGAAGCGAAGCUAAACCCCAAGAUUACCAACUUGGCUCCUUCCGGCCAUCCAAUCGAAACCUCUCAACCCGCUGCCCCCCACCGCCCUUCCCCUCCCGGAGAGCAGAAAUCAACUGCAGCAGGGAAGAAAGAAACGGGAAACAAGGGGAUGCCCGAAC